UCCUGUAGCAAUACAGGGAAACGUCUAGCGGCGAACGGGUGCUUAACACGUGGGCAACCUGCCAAGAAGUGGGGGAUAGCUCGCCGAAAGGCGAAUUAAUACCGCAUGUGAUUAGAGUGGACAUCCAUUCAAAAUCAAAGUCGGGGCAACCUGGCGCUUCUUGAUGGGCUCGCGGCCUAUCAGCUAGUUGGUGAGGUAAUAGCUCACCAAGGCUAUGACGGGUAGCUGGUCUGAGAGGACGACCAGCCACACUGGAACUGAGACACGGUCCAGACACCUACGGGUGGCAGCAGUCGAGAAUUUUUCUCAAUGGGGGAAACCCUGAAGGAGCGACGCCGCGUGGAGGAUGAAGGUCUUCGGAUUGUAAACUCCUGUCAUUGGUGAACAAAGUCACAAGUUAACUGCUUUGUGAUCUGCUAGUAGCCGAAGAGGAAGAGACGGCUAACUCUGUGCCAGCAGCCGCGGUAAUACAGAGGUCUCAAGCGUUGUUCGGAUUCAUUGGGCGUAAAGGGUGCGUAGGCGGUGGGGUAAGUUGGAUGUGAAAUCUUGGGGCUUAACCUCAAAAUUGCAUUCAAUACUGCUCCGCUCGAGAGCUGUAGAGGAGACUGGAAUUCACGGUGUAGCA
rnacentral:rRNA from 1 species